CCAUCCUCCAAGGCUAAAUACUCCUGACUGACCGAUAGUGAACCAGUACCGUGAGGGAAAGGCGAAAAGAACCCCGUUGAGGGGAGUGAAAUAGAACCUGAAUCCGUGUACGUACAAGCAGUGGGAGCAGACUUGUUCUGUGACUGCGUACCUUUUGUAUAAUGGGUCAGCGACUUACUUUCAGUGGCAAGGUUAACCGAAUAGGGGAGCCGUAGAGAAAUCGAGUCUUAAUAGGGCGUCGAGUCGCUGGGAGUAGACCCGAAACCGGGCGAUCUAUCCAUGGGCAGGUUGAAGAUUGAGUAACAUCAAUUGGAGGACCGAACCGACUAUCUUUGAAAAGCUAGCGGAUGACCUGUGGAUAGGAGUGAAAGGCUAAUCAAGCCCGGAGAUAGCUGGUUCUCCUCGAAAGCUAUUUAGGUAGCGCCUCGUGUCUAACCAUCGGGGGUAGAGCACUGUUUGGGCUAGGGGGUCAUCCCGACUUACCAACCCCAUGCAAACUCCGAAUACCGAUGAGUUCAAUCACGGGAGACACACGGCGGGUGCUAACGUCCGUCGUGGAAAGGGAAACAACCCAGACCGUCAGCUAAGGUCCCAAAGUAACAGUUAAGUGGGAAACGAUGUGAGAAGGCCCAGACAGCCAGGAGGUUGGCUUAGAAGCAGCCACCCUUUAAAGAAAGCGUAAUAGCUCACUGGUCGAGUCGGCUCGCGCGGAAGAUUUAACGGGGCUCAAACUGUUCACCGAAGCUACGGGUACUUAACUUUGUUAAGUGCGGUAGAGGAGCGUUCUGUAAGCCGUUGAAGGUGUAUCGGGAGGUAUGCUGGAGGUAUCAGAAGUGCGAAUGCUGACAUGAGUAACGACAAGGGGAGUGAGAAGCUCCCCCGCCGGAAGACCAAGGGUUCCUGCGCAACGCUAAUCGGCGCAGGGUGAGUCGGCCCCUAAGGUGAGGUCGAAAGACGUAAUCGAUGGGAAACAGGUCAAUAUUCCUGUACCCCUUUUGACUGCGAUGGAGUGACGGAGAAGGCUAGGUCAGCGCAGCGUUGGUUGUCUGCGUUUAAGAUCGUAGGCUGGGGAUUCAGGCAAAUCCGGAUCCUCAAGGCCGAGAAUUGAUGACGAGGCUCUACGGAGCUGAAGUGAUUGAUGCCAUGCUUCCAGGAAAAACUUCUAAGCUUCAGGUCAGAAGGGACCGUACCCCAAACCGACACAGGUGGUCAGGUAGAGAAUACCAAGGCGCUUGAGAGAACUCGGGUGAAGGAACUAGGCAAAAUGGCACCGUAACUUCGGGAGAAGGUGCGCCGGCUUUGGUGAUCGGACUUGCUCCGUAAGCUGAGGCUGGUCGAAGAUACCAGGUGGCUGCGACUGUUUAUUAAAAACACAGCACUGUGCAAACACGAAAGUGGACGUAUACGGUGUGACGCCUGCCCGGUGCCGGAAGGUUAAUUGAUGGGGUUAUCUUCGGAGAAGCUCUUGAUCGAAGCCCCGGUAAACGGCGGCCGUAACAAUAACGGUCCUAAGGUAGCGAAAUUCCUUGUCGGGUAAGUUCCGACCUGCACGAAUGGCGUAACGAUGGCCACGCUGUCUCCACCCGAGACUCAGUGAAAUUGAAAUCGCUGUUAAGAUGCAGCGUAUCCGCGGCUAGACGGAAAGACCCCGUGAACCUUUACUACAGCUUCACAGUGGAUCUUGAUGUUGCUUGUGUAGGAUAGGUGGGAGGCUUUGAAGCGUGAACGCCAGUUUGCGUGGAGCCAUCCUUGAAAUACCACCCUGGCAAUAUUGAGGUUCUAACCCAGGUCCUGAAACGGGAUCGGGGACAUUGUGUGGUGGGUAGUUUGACUGGGGCGGUCUCCUCCCAAAGAGUAACGGAGGAGCACGAAGGUUGGCUAAGUACGGUCGG
rnacentral:rRNA from 1 species